rnacentral:rRNA from 1 species
CUUGCUUCUCUUGAGAGCGGCGGACGGGUGAGUAAUGCCUAGGAAUCUGCCUGGUAGUGGGGGAUAACGUUCGGAAACGGACGCUAAUACCGCAUACGUCCUACGGGAGAAAGCAGGGGACCUUCGGGCCUUGCGCUAUCAGAUGAGCCUAGGUCGGAUUAGCUAGUUGGUGGGGUAAUGGCUCACCAAGGCUACGAUCCGUAACUGGUCUGAGAGGAUGAUCAGUCACACUGGAACUGAGACACGGUCCAGACUCCUACGGGAGGCAGCAGUGGGGAAUAUUGGACAAUGGGCGAAAGCCUGAUCCAGCCAUGCCGCGUGUGUGAAGAAGGUCUUCGGAUUGUAAAGCACUUUAAGUUGGGAGGAAGGGUUGUAGAUUAAUACUCUGCAAUUUUGACGUUACCGACAGAAUAAGCACCGGCUAACUCUGUGCCAGCAGCCGCGGUAAUACAGAGGGUGCAAGCGUUAAUCGGAAUUACUGGGCGUAAAGCGCGCGUAGGUGGUUUGUUAAGUUGGAUGUGAAAUCCCCGGGCUCAACCUGGGAACUGCAUUCAAAACUGACUGACUAGAGUAUGGUAGAGGGUGGUGGAAUUUCCUGUGUAGCGGUGAAAUGCGUAGAUAUAGGAAGGAACACCAGUGGCGA